UGGGCAUUCGUCAAGCGGUAAGGCACAUGACUUUGACUCAUGGAUACACUGGUUCGAAUCCAGUAUGCCCAG
rnacentral:tRNA from 1 species